UGGGGAAUAUUGCACAAUGGGAGCAAGCCUGAUGCAGCCAUGCCGCGUGUAUGAAGAAGGCCUUCGGGUUGUAAAGUACUUUCAGCGGGGAGGAAGGUGUUGAGGUUAAUAACCUCAGCAAUUGACGUUACCCGCAGAAGAAGCACCGGCUAACUACGUGCCAGCAGCCGCGGUAAUACGGAGGGUGCAAGCGUUAAUCGGAAUUACUGGGCGUAAAGCGCACGCAGGCGGUCUGUCAAGUCGGAUGUGAAAUCCCCGGGCUCAACCUGGGAACUGCAUUCGAAACUGGCAGGCUAGAGUCUUGUAGAGGGGGGUAGAAUUCCAGGUGUAGCGGUGAAAUGCGUAGAGAUCUGGAGGAAUACCGGUGGCGAAGGCGGCCCCCUGGACAAAGACUGACGCUCAGGUGCGAAAGCGUGGGGAGCAAACA
rnacentral:rRNA from 1 species